UGGGGAAUAUUGGGCAAUGGGCGCAAGCCUGACCCAGCAACGCCGCGUGAAGGAUGAAGGUUUUCGGAUCGUAAACUUCUUUGAUCGGGGACGAAAUUGACGGUACCCGAGGAACAAGCCACGGCUAACUACGUGCCAGCAGCCGCGGUAAUACGUAGGUGGCGAGCGUUAUCCGGAUUUACUGGGUGUAAAGGGCGUGUAGGCGGUUUUUCAAGUCGGAUGUGAAAUUCCCGGGCUUAACCCGGGCGCUGCAACCGAAACUGAGAAACUUGAGUACUGGAGAGGACAGCGGAAUUCCUAGUGUAGCGGUAAAAUGCGUAGAUAUUAGGAGGAACACCGGUGGCGAAGGCGGCUGUCUGGACAGUAACUGACGCUGAGGCGCGAAAGCGUGGGGAGCAAACA
rnacentral:rRNA from 1 species